UACGGAGGGUGCAAACGUUGCUCGGAAUCAUUGGGCGUAAAGCGCACGUAGGCGGUCCUGCAAGUCGGAUGUGAAAGCCCUCGGCUCAACCGAGGAAGUGCAUACGAAACUGCCGGACUUGAAUAUGGAAGAGGGUCGCGGAAUUCCCGGUGUAGAGGUGAAAUUCGUAGAUAUCGGGAGGAACACCGGUGGCGAAGGCGGCAUCCUGGACCGACACUGACGCUGAUGAGCGAAAGCCAGGGGAGCAAACGGG
rnacentral:rRNA from 1 species